rnacentral:rRNA from 1 species
GAUGAACGCUAGCGGCAGGCUUAACACAUGCAAGUCGAGGGGUAUUGGUUUUCGGACCAAGAGACCGGCGCACGGGUGCGUAACGCGUAUGCAAUCUACCUUUUGCAGAGGGAUAGCCCCAGAGAAAUUUGGAUUAAUACCUCAUAGUAUAGUACUUUGGCAUCAAGGAACUAUUAAAGUCACAACGGCAAAAGAUGAGCAUGCGUCCCAUUAGCUAGUUGGUAAGGUAACGGCUUACCAAGGCUACGAUGGGUAGGGGUUCUGAGAGGGAGAUCCCCCACACUGGUACUGAGACACGGACCAGACUCCUACGGGAGGCAGCAGUGAGGAAUAUUGGACAAUGGGCGCAAGCCUGAUCCAGCCAUGCCGCGUGCAGGAUGACGGUCCUAUGGAUUGUAAACUGCUUUUAUACAGGAAGAAACACUCCGACGUGUCGGAGCUUGACGGUACUGUAAGAAUAAGGAUCGGCUAACUCCGUGCCAGCAGCCG